ensembl:snRNA U6 U6 spliceosomal RNA
UUGUUCACGUCAACUGCAAAUACACUAAAACUGGAACAAUGCAAAUAUUAGCCCAGCCCCUGCUCAAGGAUGACAUGCAAAUUCGUGAAGUGCUCCAUUAUUUC